UCAGGAUGAGGUAGUAAGUUGUAUUGUUGUGGGGGUGUUUCAUUUCCCCAAAUUAGGAGAUAACUAUACAGUUUACUGCCUUCCCUGU
rfam:Xenopus laevis strain J chromosome 8S, whole genome shotgun sequence.